rnacentral:rRNA from 1 species
GAUGAACGCUGGCGGCGUGCCUAAUACAUGCAAGUCGAGCGAACAGACGAGGAGCUUGCUCCUCUGACGUUAGCGGCGGACGGGUGAGUAACACGUGGAUAACCUACCUAUAAGACUGGGAUAACUUCGGGAAACCGGAGCUAAUACCGGAUAAUAUAUUGAACCGCAUGGUUCAAUAGUGAAAGACGGUUUUGCUGUCACUUAUAGAUGGAUCCGCGCCGCAUUAGCUAGUUGGUAAGGUAACGGCUUACCAAGGCAACGAUGCGUAGCCGACCUGAGAGAUUGAACGGCCACACUGGAACAGAGGCACGUUCCAGACUCCUACGGGAGGCCGCAGUAGGGAAUGUUCCGCGAUGGGCGGAAACCUGGCGGAGCGACGCCGCGUGAGUGAUGAAGGUCUUCGGAUCGUAAAACUCUGUUAUUAGGGAAGAACAAUUUUAUAACUAACUAUACACAUCUUGACGGUACCUGAGCAGAAAGCCACGGCUAACUACGUG